rnacentral:rRNA from 1 species
AUUGAACGCUGGCGGCAGGCCUAACACAUGCAAGUCGAGCGGAGCGGCGGACGGGUGAGUAAUGCCUAGGAAUCUGCCUGGUAGUGGGGGAUAACGUCCGGAAACGGGCGCUAAUACAGCAUACUCUCAGAUGAGCCUAGGUCGGAUUAGAUAGUUGGUGGGGUAAAGGCCUACAAAGGCGACGAUGCGUCACUGGUCUGAGAGGAUGAUCCGUAACACUGGAACUGAGAAACGGUCCAGACUCCUAAGGGAGGCAGCAGUGGGGAAUAUUGGACAAUGGGCGAAAGCCUGAUCCAGCCAUGCCGCGUGUGUGAAGAAGGUCUUCGGAUUGUAAAGCACUGUAAGUCGGGAGGCGUUACCAACAGAAUAAGCACCGGCUAACUUCGUGCCAGCAGCCGCGGUAAUUC